UACGAAGGGGGCUAGCGUUGCUCGGAAUUACUGGGCGUAAAGAGUGUGUAGGCGGUGCUCUAAGUCUGUUGUGAAAUCUCCCGGCUUAACCGGGAGGGUGCGGCGGAAACUGGAGUGCUUGAGGGUGGGAGAGGUAAGCGGAAUUCCUGGUGUAGCGGUGAAAUGCGUAGAUAUCAGGAGGAACACCUGCGGCGAAGGCGGGUUGCUGGGCUGACACUGACGCUGAAGCGCGAAAGCUAGGGGAGCGAACGGG
rnacentral:rRNA from 1 species